CAAUAAGCAUCGAACAAGAGAGUAGGUGUGUGGCAGUCUCCAGAGAGAGGACGUUAGUGAAAGAUCCUUGGCUGACAUGCAUUGAAGGUAGCUUGCGAGCUGGUCACUUAGCAGUGUUGAGUGGCCCGGAUAACAUCCGUUAACGUGAUUUAAGUGGGGAUAAUUCCCAAUUUAGGUGGUACCGCGAGAAACUCGUCCUAUUC
rnacentral:ncRNA from 1 species